UCACCCAACCAAGUAGAGUUCAGUGUCUGGGUGGAAAGGAAGAUGCAUUCCAGCUGUCCCCAAAAUGAAGAAAAGCAGAAGAUGGUUUCCGCCCCCCCUUCUUCAGUGAAAUAAACCUGACCUUCUGAUAGGAGAGUCUGUCUUGAAUCAGAAAUGGUUUAACUAAAUCACAACAGGAAGCAUCUCCAGUUACAGCCCAACUUGCUCUAGGUCCUGAUGGAUGAAGAUAGCAUGCCACUUGACUUCAUGAAACUCGGGGUGUAGCAGGUGAUUACACAUCCUUUGGUUGUGGGGAAGCCUGGGCUAUCACAGAGAGAAGAAGCUGAGUGAAUUAUUUAAAAAGUAUGCAGCAAAGGCCUGUGAAUCGUCGGGGAGGUGGGAUGGCGUCUCUCCCUCAUUCGGGGGCCUCUCCGAGGAAUAGCAGAAGGGACCCCAGAAGGCUUGUUGGACACCAGUUUAAUUCGGAAAAUAGAGCAGCACUUCACCUCGCGUGUGCUGGGUGGGGAAUUGUAAAAGAGGACACAGUCAAAAUAGUCAUUAAGGCCAAACCAGAGUCAGCCCAAAGCCAGGCCUGCAUUCCCAGGAACCUGCUGGGCCGUGGUAUUUGCAUACAUCAGUCUCCAGCCUCCAUUGUCUCCCACAGGAAGAACUUGUUCCAUUCCAUUAAGAACGCCUGAAUAUUUUAUUGGCUAAAAACUAGGGGCCUAGGCUGGAUGGUAAACAAGUUUGGAGUGCUGUUUUUGAGUUGUGUUUAUGUUUUAUACAUGGAACAGUUUUAAGUAUUUUUUUGUUAAAUUCAAAACACUCCAGAAAUUCUGCAACUUAAGGCGACAACCACUGCAAAAGUUCCAGGGCAACAUUUGGACACUUUCAAGAUUACUUCAGGGACUUGAAUGCUGAGAAACAAGAAGGGACAACUUUUAUUAAGAAAAACAUUUUAGUAGCUGAAUACAGAAAUCAAAACCAAGAGUAGGCGUUCCAAAUUCAUAUUGUGAAGCGCCUACAAAAAGAUUCUUCUGUCAGCUUUCACAGUGUGGAGAGUUCAUCUUUUCAUCUCAUCAAGUGAAAAUAUGCCCCAAUUCCCGACCGGAAUGUGGACUCUGCUUUCAGCAAUGAGCAUCAGACAUGACAAGCCCUGAUUUUGUUCAGUUAUCAGCCCUUCACCUGUCAAGCCAGUGCCUCAGGAAGCUUGAUCCCACCUCCAGCCCAGUAAGUGGACCUGAUUGGUCAAAGGCAUGGCCUAUCCGUCUGGCCAGGGAUCGGUUCAGGAAUAGACUUGAGACCAGAUUCAGGAAUGAAUAUGAGGGACAUUCUUCUUCUUCCUGCAUGUGAUCCCUUGAACUGCUGCUACCACCUUGCCACCUGCCUAAGGAGGAAGGUCAAUGCUGAGGAAUCGGAGCAAAGAGAUAGGAAGAACAUGAGUCUAUGGCAUUGUUGUGCUUUGCUGUCUCUGGACUUCUUUUACGGAAGAAUUCAUCAUCUCAACUGCCCCGAGUCUACGAGAUAUGUCCACAGACGAGCUGACUGCCUACACCAUAGUCCACACCGUCGGUAGCGUUAGCUCCACUGAGACAGAUGUGUUUCCAAAACGCACAGAGGGAUUUGCUGGCCUGAGCAUAGCAAGAGUGUGAUAACUGAAAAAAAAAAAAAAAACAUAAAGUGGGAUCAUGCCCACCCAUCCCUCUGGUUAGACUGCGUGUUUUGUGCAGAAAACUAUGUUUGGGUAGCUCCUCCUCGGGGUAAAGAAAGAAAGAGCUCUGCGCCUGAAGAAACCCCGGACCUGGUAUGCUGGGAGGAAGGUCUGCUCUUCCAGGGUGAAGCCAUUCAUGACAGACCCAGGGAUGUGCGUACUUUGUUU
ensembl:lncRNA